GCAGGAAUUUCUGAGGCAGCAGGAGCCACUGAGGCAAAGUGAGCUCAGGCGGAGGUGGGGGAAAGCAUUGAGGGAGAGGGCCUGAGCCUAAAAUGGCAGAAAGCUGAGGUAAGGAGUAAGGUUGAGGAGGCAGGAAGGCCUGAAGAGAGGGGCUCAGGCUGAGGAGGCAGGAAUCACUGAGGUGGGGGGCUCAGGAGAUGGGCAGUGCUAAUGUGGGGGGCUCACACUGAGGGGAUGUGAAGUGCUGUGGUGGAGGGUUAGGCGGAGCUGGGGGAAAGAGCUGAGGUGGGGAGCUCAGGCUGAGCUGGGGAGAAGCAAUGAGAGGAGGGGCUCAGGCUGAGGUGGUGAGAAGAGGUGGGAGGGGUCAGACUCAGAUGGUGGACAGAGCUGAGGAGGCAAGAAGCGCUCUGGUGAGGCAGCUCAAACUGGGAAGAGGGGAACACUGAGGUGAGGGAGUUUAGGCUGAGUACCUACAAAGAAGACAGCAGAAAACCUCUAAGAACCAGCAAGCAAAUAGUAAGAAAGAAAGCAAGUCCCUUAAGGCAGAGGAGAAGGAAAGGAACUGUGGACAGAGUGAGCACCCCAUAAUUAAGGCUCAAGUUAAAGUGGAUAUUGAGCAUUUUAACAUCUUGAGCAGUGUGACCCCCCUAUAACUGGGGUUCAGGUCUGUGCUCUCUUGGCAGCUUUCCAUAAUGCUCCUUUAAUUGGCUACUGAGAGUGACUCCCCUGUAAUUAGGGCACAAGUAAUGUUCCUAUGAUUUAGGGUAAAGUCUCUUGGCCCUUCUCACUGGGUACGAAGUUGGGAUAUAUAUAUAUAUAUAUAUAUGUAUUACCAUAUCAAAAAAGGGAAUUACUUCUUAAGUGUAGUACCAGUGUUUUCGAGGCCAAUUCAGUCAGAGCGGAUGUGGCUCACGCUAAGCAGUUAUGCGGAGAUAAGAAUACUAAGACACGGAAAAUGGCCUUAUUCAGACCUAAUUUAAUCAUGUUAAAUUUGCAAAUGAAUUUCAACUCAUCUGUUUGUCUCUGAGGUCUGGAUUUGAAGAUUGGUUUUUUUGUAAAAGAAUUACUACUUUUAAAUCACUUACCAUGUGUCCAGGUUAGUUAAGUGUUCUCAAAGUGGUUUUUCUAUGUUACAUAUUUUGUAUCUGAUUUGUGUCCAUUUAGCCUCUGACACACAGACUGUCCAGUUAGGACAGUACGCAUGGCAGAGGGGCAUUGCUGACACAUGAUGGCGUAUUUCAUGUAGUAGAUAAACAGGUGGUUGAGCCCCUGAUGGUGUGGUUGAUUUGAUUAGGCCUGUGAUGGAGUUUCUUGUAUAGAUAUGAGGACAGAGUUGGCAAUCAGGUGUGUUGCAGAGAUAGCUUCCUGGGUUAGCGUUUCAAUCGUGUGCUGUGAGGCUAGGAGUAAGUAUUUAACAUGAUCAAAUAAGAUGUGAAUAAGGACUUAGAACAGUUAACCUGCAAAAAGGUAAUUUUCCCUCUCUUUUUACUAAUACCUACCCAUCCUGCACAGAGAAUGGGCCACAUCCACCUGGACUUAAGUGUCCUUCUUGACAUAGGUCCUACUCUUCCUAAGUAACUACCUUCUUUUCAACUGCAGGUACGAAAAUAUAUCCUAAACUUGAGGAUUUCAAAUCCAUCAGUAUCAUGCAGUGAUUUUCACCCAUGAAAGCAAAUGCUAAAAUAAUACCAUUAGUAUUAAUAUCCCACAGGAAUUCUUCUAUUUGUAGAAACUGAAUAAUAUACAUACCCAUUUCUACCCAGUGAGACCUAUACUGCUGUAAUGAGGGGAAAGUGAGCUCUUUGGAACCCAGACCAGUCAGACCUCCCUGUAACAAGGGCUCAGGUCUAUCUUAGCGUGACAAGCCCGUGAAUACGGUGCACGUCACGAGCAUGCCAAACCCCUUUUUCUUGGGGCAUACUGAGGCUUUGGCUGCCUGGACCAGCGAGACCUCCCUGUAACUGAGGACAAGGUCUCUGCCCCUCCUCAUUCGGCGUCCAUGCGCCUUUAGCUGGUGACUUAAGACUGGCCACCCUGUAACUCAGGGUCUAGGCUGCCUCCCUCCUUGACCUACGGAGGCGGACCCAGGGGCCUUUUUGGUAACGUGGGCAGCGUGGUCUCCCUGUAACCAGGGUUCGAGCCCCUGCCCGUUAGUCGCUUGACAUUCCGCUGCCGUAGCCCGCUGGUCCGGACGAGGGCCCUGUAAGCAGGGCACAAGCCUCAUCAGUCACUAUUCCUCGUGCCCCCGCCCCUCACAACUCUACCCGAGCAACUCUGUCCAGAGUCCCGGCCCCUCGCACCGCCUUGCCGGCUCAUCUGGAAUUCCGCAGCGUCUACCCCGCUUCCCUGCCGGGGACAAGACAUCGUGCAGCAGCUGCUGCACCACCGAGGAAGACGAAGAGGAAGAGGAGGAGGAGAAGAAGGAAGCCUCUAGGAGCCGGCAAGCAAACAGGAGGAAAGGAAGCAAGUCACGGAAGGCAGAGGAGAAGGACAGGGACUGUGGACAGAGUGAGCACCCCACAAUUAAAGCUCGGGUCACAGGGGCUACGGAGCUCUUUCACACCUUGAGCAGCGGGACCGCCCUGUAACUGGGGUGCAGGUCCGUGCUCUCUUGGCCGCUUGGCCUCAUGCUCCUCUAACCGGCCAGCGAGAAGGACUCCCCUGCAAUUAGGGCCCAAGUCACCAUCCUGUCGCUUACGGGGGAUACUGAGCUCCUUGGAACUCCGAGCAGCGUGACCUCCCUGUAACUCAGGGUCAGGUCUCUGCCCUCUUGCCCUUUCGGCAUCAUGGCCUGUUGGCAGUCUGGUCAGCUGGACAGCCCUGUAAGGAGGGUUCAUGUCUCGAGCCUCCCUCUCUCUCUCCUUUGUGGGGACAGACUGAGCUCUCUGGACUCCUGGGCAGCGUGGCCUACCGGUAAUUCGGGAUGAGGCCUCUGCCCUUUAGGUCCUUGGCACUAGGCCCCAGGAAGCAGCCGGUCUGAACGGGCCGCCCUCUAAUUGAGGUGCAGGUGGAAUCCCUCUGGUUGAGACGGGAUUAGGACUAACUUUGGUGCCGCUGAUCCCGUGGCCUGCCUGUAACUUGGGUUCAGGUCUCUGCUCCCUUGCCCUUUUGGCUUGGUGGGCUGUUGGCAGUCCAGCCCGCGUGACCCUCCCUGUAAGCGGGGUGUGGGUCGCCAGUAGCGAGGGCUUAGAGCCCGUUUUCCACCGUGGCCUGGCUGACCACCCUGUAAGCAGGGUUCCGGUCUCUCCCCUUUUGGCGCUCACAAUAAUGCUUUCGUAUCCGGCUGUAACCAGAGAGCUUCUCCAGCCCCUUGCUUCUGCGGGGGAAGGAUCUUUGAACUGUGUGACCUCCCUGUACCGAGGGUUCAGGUCGGCCCUUGCGGCCUCCAUACUGUGACGCUCUAGUGACUGCCAAGUGAGAGCGACUGCCCUGUAAUGAGGGUGCAUGUCGCUUGUCCCUGAGUGCUGAGGCUCAUUCAACUUUCUGGUAGCUUGAACUCUUUGACCACCCUGUAAGCGAGGGCUCUGGUCGGCCCUUUUGGCCUCCUGCUAUUAUGCGCUCGUGGCUGACUAGCGAAAAGGACUCCCCUGUAAUGAGGGUGCAAGUCCCGUGGCCGCGGCUCCUGGGGGGACAUCGAGCUCUUUGGAACCCUGAGCACUGAGACCUCCCUGUAACGAGGGCUCGGGUCUCUGUUGGCAGUCUAGCCGGCGUGACAGCCCCGUAAGUACGGUGCACACGUCACGAGCUCCCUCCUCCCUGCCUGGCCCCCCCCCCCCCCCACCGCUUUUUCUGUGGGGCACACUGAGUCUUUGGCUGCCUGGGCCAGCGAGACCUCCCUGUAACUGAGGACAAGGUCUCUGCCCCUCCUCAUUCGGCGUCCAUGCGCCUUUAGCUGGUGACUUAAGACUGGCCACCCUGUAACUCAGGGUCUAGGCUGCCUCCCUCCUUGACCUACGGAGGCGGGCGCAGGGGCCUUUUUGGUAACGUGGGCAGCGUGGUCUCCCUGUAACCAGGGUUCGAGCCCCUGCCCGUUAGUCGCUUGACAUUCCGCUGCCGUAGCCCGCUGGUCCGAACGAGGGCCCUGUAAGCAGGGCACAAGCCUCAUCAGUCACUAUUCCUCGUGCCCCCGCCCCUCACAACUCUACCCGAGCAACUCUGUCCAGAGUCCCGGCCCCUCGCACCGCCUUGCCGGCUCAUCUGGAAUUCCGCAGCGUCUACCCCGCUUCCCUGCCGGGGACAAGACAUCGUGCAGCAGCUGCUGCACCACCGAGGAAGACGAAGAGGAAGAGGAGGAGGAGAAGAAGGAAGCCUCUAGGAGCCGGCAAGCAAACAGGAGGAAAGGAAGCAAGUCACGGAAGGCAGAGGAGAAGGACAGGGACUGUGGACAGAGUGAGCACCCCACAAUUAAAGCUCGGGUCACAGGGGCUACGGAGCUCUUUCACACCUUGAGCAGCGGGACCGCCCUGUAACUGGGGUGCAGGUCCGUGCUCUCUUGGCCGCUUGGCCUCAUGCUCCUCUAACCGGCCAGCGAGAAGGACUCCCCUGCAAUUAGGGCCCAAGUCACCAUCCUGUCGCUUACGGGGGAUACUGAGCUCCUUGGAACUCCGAGCAGCGUGACCUCCCUGUAACUCAGGGUCAGGUCUCUGCCCUCUUGCCCUUUCGGCAUCAUGGCCUGUUGGCAGUCUGGUCAGCUGGACAGCCCUGUAAGGAGGGUUCAUGUCUCGAGCCUCCCUCUCUCUCUCCUUUGUGGGGACAGACUGAGCUCUCUGGACUCCUGGGCAGCGUGGCCUACCGGUAAUUCGGGAUGAGGCCUCUGCCCUUUAGGUCCUUGGCACUAGGCCCCAGGAAGCAGCCGGUCUGAACGGGCCGCCCUCUAAUUGAGGUGCAGGUGGAAUCCCUCUGGUUGAGACGGGAUUAGGACUAACUUUGGUGCCGCUGAUCCCGUGGCCUGCCUGUAACUUGGGUUCAGGUCUCUGCUCCCUUGCCCUUUUGGCUUGGUGGGCUGUUGGCAGUCCAGCCCGCGUGACCCUCCCUGUAAGCGGGGUGUGGGUCGCCAGUAGCGAGGGCUUAGAGCCCGUUUUCCACCGUGGCCUGGCUGACCACCCUGUAAGCAGGGUUCCGGUCUCUCCCCUUUUGGCGCUCACAAUAAUGCUUUCGUAUCCGGCUGUAACCAGAGAGCUUCUCCAGCCCCUUGCUUCUGCGGGGGAAGGAUCUUUGAACUGUGUGACCUCCCUGUACCGAGGGUUCAGGUCGGCCCUUGCGGCCUCCAUACUGUGACGCUCUAGUGACUGCCAAGUGAGAGCGACUGCCCUGUAAUGAGGGUGCAUGUCGCUUGUCCCUGAGUGCUGAGGCUCAUUCAACUUUCUGGUAGCUUGAACUCUUUGACCACCCUGUAAGCGAGGGCUCUGGUCGGCCCUUUUGGCCUCCUGCUAUUAUGCGCUCGUGGCUGACUAGCGAAAAGGACUCCCCUGUAAUGAGGGUGCAAGUCCCGUGGCCGCGGCUCCUGGGGGGACAUCGAGCUCUUUGGAACCCUGAGCACUGAGACCUCCCUGUAACGAGGGCUCGGGUCUCUGUUGGCAGUCUAGCCGGCGUGACAGCCCCGUAAGUACGGUGCACACGUCACGAGCUCCCUCCUCCCUGCCUGCCCCCCCCCCCCCCCCACCGCUUUUUCUGUGGGGCACACUGAGUCUUUGGCUGCCUGGGCCAGCGAGACCUCCCUGUAACUGAGGACAAGGUCUCUGCCCCUCCUCAUUCGGCGUCCAUGCGCCUUUAGCUGGUGACUUAAGACUGGCCACCCUGUAACUGAGGGCAAGGUCUCUGCCCCUCCUCAUUCGGCGUCCAUGCGCCUUUAGCUGGUGACUUAAGACUGGCCACCCUGUAACUGAGGGCAAGGUCUCUGCCCCUCCUCAUUCGGCGUCCAUGCGCCUUUAGCUGGUGACUUAAGACUGGCCACCCUGUAACUCAGGGUCUAGGCUGCCUCCCUCCUUGACCUACGGAGGCGGGCGCAGGGGCCUUUUUGGUAACGUGGGCAGCGUGGUCUCCCUGUAACCAGGGUUCGAGCCCCUGCCCGUUAGUCGCUUGACAUUCCGCUGCCGUAGCCCGCUGGUCCGAACGAGGGCCCUGUAAGCAGGGCACAAGCCUCAUCAGUCACUAUUCCUCGUGCCCCCGCCCCUCACAACUCUACCCGAGCAACUCUGUCCAGAGUCCCGGCCCCUCGCACCGCCUUGCCGGCUCAUCUGGAAUUCCGCAGCGUCUACCCCGCUUCCCUGCCGGGGACAAGACAUCGUGCAGCAGCUGCUGCACCACCGAGGAAGACGAAGAGGAAGAGGAGGAGGAGAAGAAGGAAGCCUCUAGGAGCCGGCAAGCAAACAGGAGGAAAGGAAGCAAGUCACGGAAGGCAGAGGAGAAGGACAGGGACUGUGGACAGAGUGAGCACCCCACAAUUAAAGCUCGGGUCACAGGGGCUACGGAGCUCUUUCACACCUUGAGCAGCGGGACCGCCCUGUAACUGGGGUGCAGGUCCGUGCUCUCUUGGCCGCUUGGCCUCAUGCUCCUCUAACCGGCCAGCGAGAAGGACUCCCCUGCAAUUAGGGCCCAAGUCACCAUCCUGUCGCUUACGGGGGAUACUGAGCUCCUUGGAACUCCGAGCAGCGUGACCUCCCUGUAACUCAGGGUCAGGUCUCUGCCCUCUUGCCCUUUCGGCAUCAUGGCCUGUUGGCAGUCUGGUCAGCUGGACAGCCCUCUAAGGAGGGAUUGUGUGCUAAUUUCUCCAUCUUUUAGUCAUUUGGCUAGUCCUGUGAGCUGGCAUCUUGAGUAGCCUGAUUCAUUUGUAAUCAUCUCUUUAUAGUGCUGUCAAUCACAGAAGGCUUGACCGCUCUGUUCCUGACAGCCCAGUUUGUUCCAAGAGAUAUCUUCCACAGGAGUUUCUAAAUUCUGAAGAAAAAUUACUAAAAGUGUAAUUAUUAGUCUGUAUGUGGCACUUCAAGCACACACAGAUUUCUUUUUUGCAUACGCUUUUUGGGAAAAUCCAGUUUAUCAAGUCCUUUAUCUAACUUGGUUUUUCCCAUGAACAGUAAUGCCCAAAUAAAUUUGUUCAUGGUUGAAGUACCAGAGCACUCCAUUUCUUUUCAAAAAGUGAGAUUUGUUUGGUAAAUUUAGUAUGAGUUACGGUAAAUUGUCAUUCAUAUUGUAAUAUAUGUCACUUUGUUUAUGCUGCUGUAAGUGUUCUUGUUGAGUUCUGUACUAAAAUGUAUGAAGUAUUUUCUAUGUGAGGUGUCAUAGCAAAAUUCUGGUAUCUUGACUUUUAAAAGUAUGGCUUUUUUUUUAUUACUUUUUAUGUUUCUUGUGGUUUUUGUAUCAGAGGUGAUUGCUUUUGUUCAAGUUUUACAUUUCCCAGCUCAUACGUAUUUCAUUUAAUUUGAAAAUUCUUGACUUGAUUAGACUAAAUUAGUCUUUAUACAAUAUUUUUGUCAUUUG